AACGAACGCUGGCGGCAUGCCUAACACAUGCAAGUCGAACGAGACCUUCGGGUCUAGUUGCGCACGGGUGCGUAACGCGUGGGAACCUGCCCUUAGGUUCGGAAUAACUCCCCGAAAGGGGUGCUAAUACCGGAUAAUGUCUUCGGACCAAAGAUUUAUCGCCUUUGGAUGGGCCCGCGUUGGAUUAGCUAGUUGGUAGGGUAAAAGCCUACCAAGGCGACGAUCCAUAGCUGGUCUGAGAGGAUGAUCAGCCACACUGGGACUGAGACGCGGCCCAGACGCCUACGGGAGGCAGCAGUGGGGAAUAUUGGACAAUGGGCGAAAGACUGAUCCAGCAAUGACGCGUGAGUGAUGAAGGGCUUAGAGUUGUAAAGCUCUUUUACCCGGGAUGAUAAUGACAGUACCGGGAGAAUAAGCUCCGGCUAACUCCGU
rnacentral:rRNA from 1 species